rnacentral:tRNA from 1 species
CCCUGGGUAGCUUAGUUGGUAAAGCAUCAGACUCUUGAUCUCAGGGUCAUGAGUUCAAGUCCUACACUGGGU